CCGCAUGGGGAUAUUUGCUAAAGAUUCAUCGCUGAUAGAUAGGCAUGCGUUCCAUUAGGCAGUUGGCGGGGUAACGGCCCACCAAACCGACGAUGGAUAGGGGUUCUGAGAGGAAGGUCCCCCACAUUGGUACUGAGACACGGACCAAACUCCUACGGGAGGCAGCAGUGAGGAAUAUUGGUCAAUGGGCGUAAGCCUGAACCAGCCAAGUCGCGUGAGGGAUGAAGGUUCUAUGGAUCGUAAACCUCUUUUAUAAGGGAAUAAAGUGCGGGACGUGUCCCGUUUUGUAUGUACCUUAUGAAUAAGGAUCGGCUAACUCCGUGCCAGCAGCCGCGGUAAUACGGAGGAUCCGAGCGUUAUCCGGAUUUAUUGGGUUUAAAGGGUGCGUAGGCGGCCUUUUAAGUCAGCGGUGAAAGUCUGUGGCUCAACCAUAGAAUUGCCGUUGAAACUGGGAGGCUUGAGUAUGUUUGAGGCAGGCGGAAUGCGUGGUGUAGCGGUGAAAUGCUUAGAUAUCACGCAGAACCCCGAUUGCGAAGGCAGCCUGCCAAGCCAUGACUGACGCUGAUGCACGAAAGCGUGGGGAUCAAACAGGAUUAGAUACCCUGGUAGUCCACGCAGUAAACGAUGAUCACUAGCUGUUUGCGAUACAGUGUAAGCGGCACAG
rnacentral:rRNA from 1 species